rnacentral:lncRNA from 1 species
GAUUUUUUGAGACAGAGUCUCACUAUGUAGUUGAGACUGACCUGGAAUUCACUUUGUAGCCCAGGCUGGUUUCGAACUCACAGCGAUCCUCCUGCCUCAGCCUCCCGAGUGCUGGGAUUACAGGCAUGUGCCACCACGCUCGGUUUUUUCCCCAAAUUCUGCUUUAUGGCAGAGCCCACAUGGAUACAUGACGUGCUUGGAUCUCUCUGGCCCAGUCUUGUCAUAGCCGUUCUGUAUAUGGUCCGUAAGUUGAAUUACCAACUGUCAAGAAUGUCCAGAUGAGCCUGAAGAGCCUCCAUUGCCAGAAUUGUGCUCACUCCACCCUGGAAGACAGUCACAGAAACAGAUGCUUCUGUGGUUUCUGGGUAAAAUUCAAAAGUGAAAUGGGUUCUACCAGCCUCUCAACCAAGACCACAGAAGCCCCAGGGAGCUAACAAGCCCACG